rnacentral:lncRNA from 1 species
AGAAGUCCAUUUUAAAUAUAAAGAUGCAUAAAGGUUGAAAGUACAGGGGUGGAGAACGAUAUUCCAUGCUGGCACUAAUCAAAAGAAAGUGGGAGUUUCAGACAGAACUCCAGAACAAGGAGUAUUCUUAGGCAUAAUGGGAAGUAUUGGAUAAUGAUAAAGGAGCCAAUACUCCAAGAAAACAUAGUGGUGCCUCUUAUGUUUGUACCUAAUAACAGCAUCAAAGUAUGUGAGACAAAACCUCAUAGCACUGCAAGGAGAAACAGAUGAACCAGCUCCUAUCAUUGAAGACUUUCAGCAUCCUUCUAUCAGUAAUGGACAGAUUUAGCAGGCAGAUCGUCAUGAACUCUAUAACACCAUCAGUUAACUGAGUAUAAUUGGCACAUAUAGAAUACCUCACCUCAAGCUCACAUGAGACAUUCACCAAAAUCGAUCACAUUUGAGCAUGAAAAAGCACAACUUCACAAGUUUAAAAGAAUAGACACCAUAUGAUGUAUGCUCUUGGAACACAAAUGAACUAAACUGGAAAGAUAUCUGCAAGAUUCACAAAUGCACUGAGAUGAAAUAACACACUUCUACAAAACACAUUGGUCAAAGAAGAAAUUCUAAGAGAAAUUUUUGAACUAAAUGAAAAUAAAACCAUAAUUUACCAAAAUUUGUGAGACAAAGAUAUAGCUGUGCUUAGAGUGAAAUUUAUAGCAUUGAAUAUUUUUUUAAUUUUAAUUAAAAAAAAUUUUUGUAGUUGUAGAUGGACAGAAUGCCUCUACUUUAUUUGUUUAUUUCUAUGUGGUGCUGAGUAUCGAACCCAGUGCCUCAUACAUGCUAGGCAAGCACUCUGCUACUGAGCCCCAGCCCCAGCCCACAUUCAAUAUUUUUUAAAAAUACCUUUCCC